rnacentral:rRNA from 1 species
AGUGAACGCUGGCGGUAGGCCUAACACAUGCAAGUCGAACGGCAGCACAGUAAGAGCUUGCUCUUACGGGUGGCGAGUGGCGGACGGAUGAGGAAUACAUCGGAAUCUACUUUUUCGUGGGGGAUAACGUAGGUAAACUUACGCUAAUACCGCAUAUGACCUACUGGUGAAAGCAUGGGAUCUUCUGACCUUGCGCGAUUGAAUGAGCCGAUGUCGGAUUAGCUAGUUGGCGGGGUAAAGGCCCACCAAGGCGACGAUCCGUAGCUGGUCUGAGAGGAUGAUAAGCGACACUGGAAGUGAGACGCGGUCCAGACUACUACGGGAGGCAGCAGUGGGGAAUAUUGGACAAUGGGCGCAAGCCUGAUCCAGCCAUACCGCGUGGGUGAAGAAGGCCCUCGGGUUGUAAAGCCCUUUUGUUGGGAAAGAAAAGCAGCAGGUUAAUACCCCGCUGUUCUGACGGUACCCAAAGAAUAAGCACCGGCUAACUUCGUG